rnacentral:rRNA from 1 species
GACGAACGCUGGCGGCGUGCUUAACACAUGCAAGUCGAACGAAGUGGCGAACGGGUGAGUCACGCGUAAUCAACCUGCCCUUCAGAGGGGGACAAAAGGUGGAAACGACUGAUAAUACCGCAUACUGAAGGAGGGGAUUGCGUGUGAUUGGCUAUUUGGAGGGGGAACGGCCCACCAAGGCGAUGAUCAGUAGCCGGUCUGAGAGGAGGAACGGCCCCAUUGGGACUGAGACACGGCCCAGACGCCUACGGGAGGCAGCAGUGGGGAAUCUUCCGCAAUGGACGAAAGUCUGACGGAGCAACGCCGCGUGAGUGAUGACGGCCUUCGGGUUGUAAAACUCUGUUAAUCGGGACGCGGUACCGGAAUAGAAAGCCACGGCUAACUACGUGCCAGCAGCCGCGGUAAUUC